UUAAGUUCAGCGGGUAUCCCCGCCUGAUCCGAGGCCAAACUAAAAAUCGUUGCUCGAGCCCUGCGUUACCAGGUGCUCUCGGCGGCCGUCCAUCCGUGCCCACAGAAGCGACUGACUUGCGUCUUGCUACGCUCGUGGUCCGGCGGCGGCGCCUACACGUUCCAGACCCGUCUCGUUACAGACGUCGUCCAACAUCAAGC
rnacentral:misc_RNA from 1 species